rnacentral:misc_RNA from 1 species
GAUCAUUACCGAGUGAGGGCCCUCUGGGUCCAACCUCCCACCCGUGUCUAUCGUACCUUGUUGCUUCGGCGGGCCCGCCGUUUCGACGGCCGCCGGGGAGGCCUUGCGCCCCCGGGCCCGCGCCCGCCGAAGACCCCAACAUGAACGCUGUUCUGAAAGUAUGCAGUCUGAGUUGAUUAUCGUAAUCAGUUAAAACUUUCAACAACGGAUCUCUUGGUUCCGGCAUCGAUGAAGAACGCAGCGAAAUGCGAUAAGUAAUGUGAAUUGCAGAAUUCAGUGAAUCAUCGAGUCUUUGAACGCACAUUGCGCCCCCUGGUAUUCCGGGGGGCAUGCCUGUCCGAGCGUCAUUGCUGCCCUCAAGCACGGCUUGUGUGUUGGGCCCCCGUCCCCCUCUCCCGGGGGACGGGCCCGAAAGGCAGCGGCGGCACCGCGUCCGGUCCUCGAGCGUAUGGGGCUUUGUCACCUGCUCUGUAGGCCCGGCCGGCGCCAGCCGACACCCAACUUUAUUUUUCUAAGGUUGACCUCGGAUCAGGUAGGGAUACC